rnacentral:rRNA from 1 species
GAUCAAGCUACUAAGGGCACGUGGUGGAUGCCUUGGUGUCAAGGGCCGAAGAAGGGCGUGGCAAGACUGCGAAACGCCUCGGUGAGCUGUCGUGCAAGCUUAGCCGGGGAUACCCUAAU